GACAGAGGGUGCAAACGUUGUUCGGAAUUACUGGGCGUAAAGCGAGUGUAGGCGGUCUGAUAAGUCGGGUGUGAAAGCCCCGGGCUCAACCCGGGAAGUGCACUCGAAACUGACAGGCUAGAGUAUCGGAGAGGUUGGUGGAAUUCUCGGUGUAGAGGUGAAAUUCGUAGAUAUUCGCAAGAACACCAGUGGCGAAGGCGGCUCACUGGCCCGGUACUGACGCUGAGGCACGAAAGCGUGGGGAGCAAACAGG
rnacentral:rRNA from 1 species